GGGGACAUGGUGAUUAGCCUAUAUAAUCAAGGACUAUAGAUUUUAAGUAAUUAGCAAAAUUAUUUCAGUAUUACAUAUUCAAGUUUCAAUAAAAUCUAAAGAAAUGCAUCAAUGGCCAAAACUGGCUUGAUAUCAACCUUGACCUGUCAAUUCAUAUGAUAUCAAAUCUAAAACAGCUAUUUAGCCUUCAAGAGAUGCAGAUGCUCCUCUGCAACAUAAUUAUUCCAGUAGUCGUUGAAGUUGCUAUUGAAUUCGUUCAAGCAGUAGGUUUUUCUGCACCUUCCUUUUUAUCAAGCUCUUCCAGGGCUGUCCACAGUUUCGGAUCAUCAUAAUCCUUUAUUAGAAAUGCUGGCUUAGCUUCCAUCAGUAAAUGUUCUGGAUUUCUUGUAGUUAAACCAACAACAGGCAUUCCGGCUGCUACACCGGCUUUUAUCCCCGAAACAGAAUCCUCGCAUAUAAAGGUGUGAUCCUUUGACACCUUGAGUACUUCAAGUGCCUUCAAGUAGGGUUCUGGAUGUGGUUUGGCGUGUUCACAGUCAUCUCCUAAGAUUACAGCAUCAAAGAAUUCUGAAAGCCCAAGAAGUGAAAUCAUGAGUUCAGCAUUAGGUCUUGGUGCAUUAGUAACUGCAGCUCGUUUCAGUCCACGAUCUUCAAUCCACUUCUUCAAUUUAUACAGGCCAUUUAUGGCAUUCAGUUUUUCAGAGGCCAAUUUCCGAAAGACGGCUUCCUUAUCAUCCACGAAUUUUAAGCCUUGAGGAAUAUCAUUGGGAAAAAGAAGCUUAGCAAUAUCCUCAUUAUGCUUGCCAGCAAUAUUCUGAAUAAAGAAUUCCUCUGUUAUUGGAACACCACCAUUGAAAUUUAUCUCUUGAAGCAUCUCACGAAAGGCAUAAUGGUGAAGGGGGUCUGAAUCACAUAGAGUUCCAUCAACAUCAAACAAUACUGCUUCCAAUGGAGCAAGUCUGGAAAGAUCACUUCUAGUAUCAACAGAAUUAUCUGCAGAAGAAACUGUCAUCUUGCGAUUUGUAGUGCAAGAACCAAAAAGCUUCCUUUUCUUUUCAAUGAAAUGUAAUUAGUUCUUGAGACGUGUAUUAAAGAAGAGAUCUAAGAAAUUUAAAGAUGGUUGAUAUUUUAAGGGGAAAGAGGGAGAGAGAAUCUCUCCGAGAAUCAGAAACCAGAGGUAAAAAAAUGCGAAUUGC
rnacentral:misc_RNA from 1 species